CCUCCGCCUAAAGCGGCAGGAGCUGAAGGACCCCAGCGAGGACGAGCCCAACAUCCGGGUGGUCCUGGAGCAUCGCUUCUACAAGGAGAAGAGCAAGAGCGUGAAGCAGAUGUGCGACAAGUGCAGCACCAUCAUCUGGGGCCUCAUCCAGACCUGGUACACCUGCACAGGCUGCUACUACCGGUGCCACAGCAAGUGCCUGCCGCUGGUGAGCAAGGCGGGCGGGCG